rnacentral:lncRNA from 1 species
UUCUUUUCAUUUUUUUUUAAAUUUAUUUUGAGACUGUCUCACUAAGUUGCUUAGGAGCUUGCUAAGUGGCUGAGGCUGGCCUCGAACUUGAGAUCAUCUUAUAUCAGUCUCUGGAGCUGGUAUAGGUAUGUGCUGAUACAGGUCUGGGCCACCAUGUCCAGCUCCAUAAUACACAUAAUUAAAGACUGAAAAACAUUUCUCAAGUCAGCUGUGGUGGUGGCCCAUGCCUGUAAUCCUAGCAACUCAGAAGGCUGAGGCAGGAGAAUUGUAAGCUGGAAGCCAGCCUUAGCAAUGUAGCAAGACUGUUUCAAAAUAAAAAACAAGGGCUGAAGAUGUAGUUCAGUGAUAAAAUGCCCUGGGUUCAAUCUUUAGUAGCGCAUGCACACACACACACACACACAAAGGGAAAAAAUUUCUUAUAUUAAAAAACGGAUGAUAAACAUUCAUAUAUUCAUGCAAAUAUGUAUGUAUGUAUAUAUAUAUAUAUGUGUGUGUGUGUGUGUGCGUGUGUGUGUGUGUGUAUAAAGUGAAACAACUUUUAUUUGUGGCUGAAUAACUAGAAAAUGUAAUGAAGCAAAAUAUCUAUCCCCCAGACAUGAUGGCUGGCUGUAUCUAACUUGUUUGGUUUGUUAUGUUUGUGUUUUGUUUCUAUUUUGCUUUUUGGUUUUUAGAUACUUUUUUGAUUGUAGAUGGAUACAAUACCUCUAUUUUAUUUGGUUAUUUUUUUAUGUGGGGCUGGGGAUUAAACCCAGUGUCUCCUGUGUGCUAGGCGAACACUCUGCCACUGAGCCACAGCCUCAGUCCCAUUGCUGCUUUUUAAGAUGGAAACUCUGAGUCCUUCAGCUAGUUAAGACAUUCCUCCAUGUUGUAACUUUUUUAUGGUUUAAGUUUUAUAAACAGUGAAAAUGAAUUG